AGAGUUUGAUCAUGGCUCAGGUUGAACGCUGGCGGCAGGCCUAACACAUGCAAGUCGAACGGUAACAGGAAGAAGCUUGCUUCUUUGCUGACGAGUGGCGGACGGGUGAGUAAUGUCUGGGAAACUGCCUGAUGGAGGGGGAUAACUACUGGAAACGGUAGCUAAUACCGCAUAACGUCGCAAGACCAAAAAGGGGGACCUUCGGGCCUCUUGCCAUCGGAUGUGCCCAGAUGGGAUUAGCUAGUAGGUGGGGUAACGGCUCACCUAGGCGACGAUCCCUAGCUGGUCUGAGAGGAUGACCAGCCACACUGGAACUGAGACACGGUCCAGACUCCUACGGGAGGCAGCAGUGGGGAAUAUUGCACAAUGGGCGCAAGCCUGAUGCAGCCAUGCCGCGUGUAUGAAGAAGGCCUUCGGGUUGUAAAGUACUUUCAGCGGGGAGGAAGGGAGUAAAGUUAAUACCUUUGCUCAUUGACGUUACCCGCAGAAGAAGCACCGGCUAACUCCGUG
rnacentral:rRNA from 1 species